UACGGGGGGGGCAAGCGUUGUUCGGAAUUACGGGGCGUAAAGGGCUCGUAGGCGGCCACCUAAGUCGGACGUGAAAUCCCUCGGCUCAACCGGGGAACUGCGUCCGAUACUGGAUGGCUUGAGUUCGGGAGAGGGAUGCGGAAUUCCAGGUGUAGCAGUGAAAUGCGUAGAUAUGCGGAGGAACACCGAUGGCGAAGGCAAUCCCCUGGGCCUGCACUGACGCUCAUGCACGAAAGCGUGGGGAGCAAACAGG
rnacentral:rRNA from 1 species